rnacentral:tRNA from 1 species
UCGUCGUAGGGGCCGCGCUGGUCGACGGCGGGCGGCUGCUGGCCGCCCGGCGCAGCGCGCCCGUCGAGCUGGCCGGGCGCUGGGAGUUGCCCGGCGGCAAG